rnacentral:rRNA from 1 species
GUCUGAAUAUGGGGGGACCAUCCUCCAAGGCUAAAUACUCAUCAUCGACCGAUAGUGAACCAGUACCGUGAGGGAAAGGCGAAAAGAACCCCGGGAGGGGAGUGAAAUAGAUCCUGAAACCGCAUGCUUACAAAAAGUAGGAGCCCGCAAGGGUGACUGCGUACCUUUUGUAUAAUGGGUCAGCGACUUACAUUCAGUGGCAAGGUUAACCGAAUAGGGG